rnacentral:rRNA from 1 species
GACGAACGCUGGCGGCGUGCUUAACACAUGCAAGUCGAACGGAAAGGCCCUGCUCUUGUGGGGUGCUCGAGUGGCGAACGGGUGAGUAACACGUGAGUAACCUGCCCCUGACUUUGGGAUAACUUCAGGAAACUGGGGCUAAUACCGGAUAGGAGCUCCUGCUCCAUGGUGGGGGUUGGAAAGUUUCGGCGGUUGGGGAUGGACUCGCGGCUUAUCAGCUUGCUGGUGGGGUAGUGGCUUAACACGGCUUUGACGGGUAGCCGGCCUGAGAGGGUGACCGGCCUCAUUGGGACUGAGAUACGGCCCAGACUCCUACGGGAGGCAGCAGUGGGGAAUAUUGCACAAUGGGCGGAAGCCUGAUGCAGCAACGCCGCGUGCGGAAUGACGGCCUUCGGGUUGUAAACCGCUUUCGCCUGUGACGAAGCGUUAGUGACGGUAAUGGGUAAAGAAGCACCGGCUAACUACGUG